rnacentral:rRNA from 1 species
AUUGAACGCUGGCGGCAGGCCUAACACAUGCAAGUCGAACGAGUGGCGGACGGGUGAGUAAUGUAUGGGAAACUGCACGAUGGAGGGGGAUCACUACUGGAAACGGUAGCUAAUACCGCCUACCAUCGGAUGUGCCGAGAUGGGAUUAGCUAGUGGGUGGGGUAACGGCUAACCUAGGCGACGAUCCCUAGCUGGUCUGAGAGGAUGAACAGCCACACUGGAACUGAGACACGGUCCAGACUCCUACGGGAGGCAGCAGUGGGGAAUAUUGCACAAUGGGCGAAAGCCUGAUGCAGCCAUGCCGCGUGUAUGAAGAAGGCCUUCGGGUUGUAAAGUACUUUCAGCGAGGAGGCGUUACUCGCAGAAGAAGCACCGGCUAACUCCGUGCCAGCAGCCGCGGUAAUUC